UACGGGGGGGGCAAGCGUUGUUCGGAAUUACUGGGCGUAAAGGGCUCGUAGGUGGCCAACUAAGUCAUACGUGAAAUCCCUCGGCUUAACCGGGGAACUGCGUCUGAUACUGGAUGGCUUGAGGUUGGGAGAGGGAUGCGGAAUUCCAGGUGUAGCGGUGAAAUGCGUAGAGAUGGGGGAGAACACUCGUGGCGAAGGCGGCCAGCUAGACCAGUUCUGACACUGAGGCGCGAUAGCGUGGGGAGCAAACAGG
rnacentral:rRNA from 1 species